rnacentral:rRNA from 1 species
GAUGAACGCUGGCGGCGUGCUUAACACAUGCAAGUCGAACGAAGCACUUUAUUUGAUUUCCUUCGGGACUGAUUAUUUUGUGACUGAGUGGCGGACGGGUGAGUAACGCGUGGGUAACCUGCCUUGUACAGGGGGAUAACAGUUGGAAACGGCUGCUAAUACCGCAUAAGCGCACGGCAUCGCAUGAUGCAGUGUGAAAAACUCCGGUGGUAUAAGAUGGACCCGCGUUGGAUUAGCUAGUUGGUGAGGUAACGGCCCACCAAGGCGACGAUCCAUAGCCGACCUGAGAGGGUGACCGGCGACAUUGGGACUGAGACACGGCCCGAACUCCUACGGGAGGCAGCAGUGGGGAAUAUUGCACAAUGGGCGAAAGCCUGAUGCAGCGACGCCGCGUGAGCGAAGAAGUAUUUCGGUAUGUAAAGCUCUAUCAGCAGGGAAGAUAAUGACGGUACCUGACGAAGAAGCACCGGCUAAAUACGUG